GAGUCCAGUGUGUGAGUAGAGUCCAGUGUGUGAGUAGAGUCCUGUGUGUGGAUAGAGUCUAGUGUGUGGAUAGAGUCCAGUGCGUGUGUAGAGUCCAGUGCGUGUUUGGAUGUGUGUGUAGAGUCCAGUGCGUGUUUAGAGUCCAGUGCGUGUGUAGAGUCCAGUGCGUGAGUACAGUCCAGUGUGUGAGUAGAGUCCAGUGCAUGUGUAGAGUCCAGUGUGUGAGUAGAGUCCAGUGCGUGUGUAGAGUCGUGUGUAGAGUCCAGUGCGUGUGUAGAGUCCAGUGCGUGUGUAGAGUCGUGUGUAGAGUCCAGUGCGUGUGUAGAGUCCAGUGCGUGUGUAGAGUCGUGUGUAGAGUCCAGUGCGUGUGUAGAGUCCAGUGCGUGUGUAGAGUCCAGUGUGUGUGU
ensembl:lncRNA